CGCAUCUGUGCAUGCAGCAUAUCAAUAAGCGGAGGAAAAGAAACUAACAAGGAUUCCCCUAGUAACGGCGAGUGAGGCGGGAAGAGCUCAAAUUUGAAAUCUUAAAGGGUUUCCCUUUACGAAUUGUAGUUUAAAGAAGUGUUUUCUGUUGAGGUUUUGGUAAAAGUUCUUUGGAAUAGGACAUCAUAGAGGGUGAGAAUCCCGUAUUUGACCUUUACUUUCAACUUUGUGAUACACUUUCAAAGAGUCGGAUUGUUUGGGAAUGCAGUCCAAAAUGGGUGGUAAAUUUCAUCUAAAGCUAAAUAUUGGCGAGAGACCGAUAGCGAACAAGUACCGUGAGGGAAAGAUGAAAAGAACUUUGAAAAGAGAGUUAAACAGUACGUGAGAUUGUCAAAAGGGAAGCGUUUGACACCAGUGUUGUUUUUCUGAAAAUCAAUUAAAGAACUGUUUAUGCUAAGCUGUUUAGACUUUAUCAGCUAAUCUGUUUAGUUUUGAGCUUUUCUUUAAUGCACUUUUCAGUUAACAAGUCAACAUCAAUUUCUUUUGCUGUAAAAAAGCUUGAGGAAGGUGGCUUGAGAUUCGUCUUAAGUGUUUAUAGCCUCUUGCCUAUGCAGUCGGAGAGAUUGAGGUCUGCAGCGUAGAUCCUUCGGGGCUAAAUGCAUUUGUGCUAAGUUAUAGCAUUUUAUAGACAACUUGUUGACUAUGAUUUGUCUUGUAGCUUACUCGCUUAUGUUAUUUUACCUACGCUUAGGAUGUUGAAUCUGUGCGAGACUAC
rnacentral:rRNA from 1 species